AAACCGUUCAGGGGUAAACCUGAGAAACCCGAAAGUUCGAAAGGAGAGAUUCACCGCGACUCGUGUCGUCGGCGAGAACGCGUACGGACGCGUCGUUUGCUAGAGUCUCGGCUCUUGUACAACGGACGCCGAACGCGUUCCGUGACGGACGUGCGAUCGCGUGCACUUCUCUCCCUGUAGGACGUCGCGACCCGUUGGGCGUCGGUCUACGAUCGGUGGUGGAGACCUGGAGGCGAUCGCCUUAAAACGAUCUCGUCCUCUAGAACCCACCGCAUCCGGCCGACUCGCUCGACGGUAGUAACUAGAGGCGCGGGGCCGCGACUUGUUCGCGUCCGGCCCGUCGCAAGCAAGUUCGGUAAUUCGGUGUACACGGCGACCUCGUGUCUCCGGUCCCGGAUCCUGACUACUGUUGGCGACGGCGUUCUCGGACAGACUCCGUAUACACGCCUGUCAGCGACGCUAUCGCUUUGGGUACUUUCAGGACCCGUCUUGAAACACGGACCAAGGAGUCUAGCAUGCACGCGAGUCUUAGGGACUCUACGACUAAACCUAAAGGCAAAAUGAAAGUGAAGGUCCGCCUCGGCGCGCGACCUAGGGAAGACGGGGACGUACGAAAUUUUGUUUCGUCGUUCUCGGCACUCCCGGGGCGUCUCGAUCUCAUCGCGAGAUGAGGCGCACCCAGAGCGUACACGCU
rnacentral:rRNA from 1 species